UACAGAGGGUGCGAGCGUUGUUCGGAAUUAUUGGGCGUAAAGGGCGCGUAGGCGGUGCGGCAAGUCACCUGUGAAACCUCUGGGCUUAACCCAGAGCCUGCAGGCGGAACUGCCGUGCUGGAGUGUGGGAGAGGUGCGUGGAAUUCCCGGUGUAGCGGUGAAAUGCGUAGAUAUGUGGAGGAACACCGAUGGCGAAGGCAGCCCCCUGGGUUAACACUGACGCUCAUGCACGAAAGCGUGGGGAGCAAACAGG
rnacentral:rRNA from 1 species